GUCAAGGAUGACACAUGCCAUUUUUGCAUCAUAUGCAUUGGAUUGCAUUUAUUAUUUAUGUUUACUGCACUUUGUUUGCUGCAUUUUGGUGGUUGCAUAUGCUUGACAUGCAUACAGGAUACAUGAUGUAUUUGGUUUGAUGACCCUGCAUCUAUUGGUGUGAUUCUCACUCUUAUGUCAGGAUAGGAGAUCCUGGUAGAUAUUUAAGCAGUUGCUUGGAGGUAUCCUGUCUGCCUGUCCCUCAUCACAACAGAAGACGGUUUUACUUCGCUUUUGAUUUCUUUUAUAUAUUCUUUAAUGUUUUAUCAUUGUAUUGGUGUUUAGCCUUAUGGCUAUUUUAUUUGAUUUUGGUGUUGUAUUUAUGUUUAAGCCGUGCCGGCAUGCAUUGUGUUAUUUUGGUUGUAUGGGUUUCCCGUUUAUUUUUUCGUUG